rnacentral:rRNA from 1 species
UACGUAGGGUGCGAGCGUUGUCCGGAAUUAUUGGGCGUAAAGGGCUCUUAGGCGGUCUGUUGCGUCGGAAGUGAAAACUCAGGGCUUAACCCUGAGCCUGCUUCCGAUACGGGCAGACUAGAGGUAUGCAGGGGAGAACGGAAUUCCUGGUGUAGCGGUGAAAUGCGCAGAUAUCAGGAGGAACACCGGUGGCGAAGGCGGUUCUCUGGGCAUUACCUGACGCUGAGGAGCGAAAGUGUGGGGAGCGAACAGG